AUACGGAGGGUGCAAGCGUUAUUCGGAAUCACUGGGCGUAAAGGACGCGUAGGCGGGUUGGCAAGUCAGAUGUGAAAUCCUACAGCUUAACUGUAGAACUGCAUUUGAAACUGCGAACCUAGAGUAUGGGAGGGGGAGAUGGAAUUAGUGGUGUAGGGGUAAAAUCCGUAGAUAUCACUAGGAAUACCGAAAGCGAAGGCGAUCUCCUGGAACAUAACUGACGCUAAGGCGUGAAAGCGUGGGGAGCAAACAGGAUUAGAAACCCUAGUAGUCC
rnacentral:rRNA from 1 species